CCUACGGGUGGCAGCAGUGAGGAAUAUUGGUCAAUGGGCGCGAGCCUGAACCAGCCAAGUCGCGUGAGGGAGGACGGCCCUACGGGUUGUAAACCUCUUUUGCCGGGGAGCAACGGGCGCCACGUGUGGCGUCACUGAGAGUACCCGGAGAAAAAGCAUCGGCUAACUCCGUGCCAGCAGCCGCGGUAAUACGGAGGAUGCGAGCGUUAUCCGGAUUUAUUGGGUUUAAAGGGUGCGUAGGCGGAUCGUUAAGUCAGUGGUCAAAUUGAGGGGCUCAACCCCUUCCCGCCAUUGAAACUGGCGUUGUUGAGGGGAAGAGAAGUAUGCGGAAUGCGUGGUGUAGGGGUGAAAGGCAUAGAUAUCACGCAGAACCGAGAUGGCGAAGGCAGCAUGCCGGCUUCCGACUGACGCGGAAGCACGAAAGCGGGGGGAUCGAACAGGAUUAGAUACCCGUGUAGUC
rnacentral:rRNA from 1 species